GACGAACGCUGGCGGCGUGCUUAACACAUGCAAGUCGAACGGAAAGGCCCUGCUUGCAGGGUACUCGAGUGGCGAACGGGUGAGUAACACGUGGGUGAUCUGCCCUGCACUUCGGGAUAAGCUUGGGAAACUGGGUCUAAUACCGGAUAGGACCGCACUUUAGUGUGUGUGGUGGAAAGUUUUUCGGUGUAGGAUGAGCUCGCGGCCUAUCAGCUUGUUGGUGGGGUAAUGGCCUACCAAGGCGGCGACGGGUAGCCGGCCUGAGAGGGUGUACGGCCACAUUGGGACUGAGAUACGGCCCAGACUCCUACGGGAGGCAGCAGUGGGAAUAUUGCACAAUGGGCGCAAGCCUGAUGCAGCGACGCC
rnacentral:rRNA from 1 species